CUGAGAAAAAAAGUGAAUCUUAAAAUUAUAUUUUUUGACGACUUAAUUUUAUUCUGCCAAAAAAGAAUAAAUUUUAUUCUAAAAGAAUAAAUUUUAAUCUUUUCAUUCAUAUCUCAGAUUAAUUUUUAGUCUUUUUUUGACUUAAAUUCAAAUCUUUUGGGGAGACUUGUAUUUAUUCUGAGAGAAAGAAACGAAUAUAGUGCACAGCAAUGUGUCCGUGCUGUGUGAGAGAGUGAGAAAAAGAAUUGUGCGUCUGACGUGAGAUGGUCGGCCAUUUUGACAGUGAACGCCAAGCUGUCAGCACCAGUGGUAAAUAAAUUUUUUCUUUUUUUUCUUUUUCUUAAUUUACGAUGAUUUUUUUAGGAAAAUGUUUAGCAACUGCAAAGACCAUGAAGACAAGAAGUCAGUGGGAUUUGAGGUUUGUUCGAGACUACGAGGGGAGAUCAAGUGAGGAAGGUGUAAAAAGCGUGUGGCAGAAUGCGGCGUCAUCAGGAAAAAACAUUUGGAAAUUCUAUACGCUGAAGCCUUCUCCAAAGUGUUAAAAUACGACCAGUUCAUUGGAGACGCAAUCGUCCUCAAACAUCAUCUCACAAAGUGAACGGAAAAGAAUGGGAUGAUGAUAGACUUUAACUCUGAAAAAUCAAAUGUCGUCGGUGAUAGUGCAUCAUUUACAAGCAAUUUUGCUCGGAUUGUCACUAAGCUCCUGUACAUCAUAGUUCAAAGAUAAACCAACUAAACGGUUAUUGAAGAAAAUCUAUGAUUCCCUUGCAACAAAAGGCUCACAAGAUUGUAUCCUGUUUCUUUUGCUGCAUGCUUUGAUUCUCCUAGACCGUGAGAGUGGUAACAAGAUACCAAUAAUUAAAGACGCAGUUAUUGGUUGUACUCUUAGAAUUAUGAAAAAUAAAACUUAAUUUCAUUCUGCAUAAUGACUUAUUUCAAUUCUUCUUUAUUCUUGAAAUUAAUCUUCUGCAGUCUUAAAUUUAAUCUGCUAGCUUCUAAAAAAAAAGAUUUAAAGUUAUUCGAAAAAAAUCUUAUUUUCAGU